CAAAGAUGCCAGAUUUGACCGCACAGAUGUUGAUCUAGGCCAGAGUUUCUCUACUCCAGUCCUCAGCGGCCACUGCACCGCAUAUUUCCUCUUCCACAACACCUGAUUCAAAUGACUGCCUGACCUCUGCAUGCCACAAAGUCCUGCAAAGUCCUGUUAAUCCACCACUUAUUCAAAUCAGGUGUGUGGCAGGAGGGAAACGCCUAAAACAUGCAAGGCAGGGCUCCUUCCGGACCGGACCUGAGAAACGCUGAUCUAUGACAACCUUCACCAGACUUAUUGAUCUUAAGGGUUAAAAUAAUGCUCGAAGAAACGUCUUCGUCACAAAAACAACUGUUGCCUUUAGGAGUUUCUAGUACAUUCUCGUCCACAGCUGCUUUAGGUUAAAUCUCUUGGUAAAGCUGAGCCAUAAGGAAUCUCGGGCUCAGAUCCAGGCGCAGUUGAUUUAAGCACAAUGUGGUCCCAAUUUACCACAAACCUUUCAACUAUUUCGCUUUAAGAUGGCUAUAAAGUCAAGAUGGCUGUAAAAUGUGACAGCGUUGAUCACCAACAACCCUGUGAAAUAUUUAAUAAAUAAAAUUGAUUGGGUAACACCACAGUGGAGAACGAGUCUGGGGACACAGUUGUUGAUGGUUCAAAUAGUUUCCUGAAGGUUUCGUCUGUCAGCGGAAGCAUUGAUGUCUACGUGGGAGACGGUGGUACCGCUGACCUCAACACUAGGGACGGAGCGGUGAGUGUGCGCGUCCCGUCUUCGCUUAGAGCUGGUGUAAACCUCUGCGGCGUGGCGGUGAACGUCAGCCCAGAGGUUCUUCUGCACGACGAACAAAGACGCACCGCAGACGGCCGGACCACACUGACUGGCUGUAUGAGUGGAGAGCCUCCUGUUGACCAGUGGGUCAAAGCUCGGGCGGACAGAGGAUCUGUCCAGCUGAGGACACAAAGCUGGCUCGAGUCCCUGAAGCUCAGGAGCUAAGUGACGGGACGCAUCGUGAUGUUCUCAGGGGCGUAAACGUCAAGAUCGGAUAUUAAUACAACGGCAACAGCUGAAUGUCAUUCACCUCUGUCUUCACCUCUGUCAAUGUGCUGUAAAUACUUAAGAAAUACACCUUUUAAUUUAAAGUGUCUUUUGAAUUGAAUGCUCUUCAUGUCGGAUCACACAAUCAUUGUAUUGUGACUGUGUGUAUUUAGCAUUUUACAUGAUUAAAAAGGUAUUUUAAUAAAAUAGGUUCUUUAAU